rnacentral:rRNA from 1 species
AUUGAACGCUGGCGGCAGGCCUAACACCUGCAAGUCGAACGAGAGGCGGACGGGUGAGUAAUGUCUGGAAAACUGCCUGAUGGAGGGGGAUAACUCCUGGAAACGGUAGCUAAUACCGCAUACCAUCAGAUGUGCCCAGAUGGGAGUAGCUAGUUGGUGGGGUAACGGCUCACCAAGGCGACGAUCCCUACCUGGUCUGAGAGGAUGACCGGCCACACUGGAACUGAGAUACGGUCCAGACUCCUACGGGAGGCAGCAGUGGGGAAGAUUGCACAAUGGGCGCAAGCCUGAUGCAGCCAUGCCGCGUGUAUGAAGAAGGCCUUCGGGUUGUAAAGUACUUUCAGCGGGGAGGCGUUACCCGCAGAAGAAGCACCGGCUAACUCCGUGCCAGCAGCCGCGGUAAUAC